GAAACGAACGCUAAUACCGCAUAACGCGCUGGGGGGGCAUCCCUUUGGCGCCAAAGGAGCAAUCCGCUAUAGGAUGGGCUCGCGUCCGAUUAGAUAGUUGGCGGGGUAACGGCCCACCAAGUCGACGAUCGGUAGCCGGACUGAGAGGUUGAACGGCCACAUUGGGACUGAGACACGGCCCAGACUCCUACGGGAGGCAGCAGUGGGGGAUAUUGCACAAUGGAGGGAACUCUGAUGCAGCGACGCCGCGUGAGGGAAGAAGGUUUUCGGAUUGUAAACCUCUGUCUUCGGUGACGAAACGAGACGGUAGCCGAGGAGGAAGCCACGGCUAACUACGUGCCAGCAGCCGCGGUAAUACGUAGGUGGCAAGCGUUGUCCGGAAUUACUGGGUGUAAAGGGAGCGUAGGCGGGAAAGCAAGUUGAAUGUUUAAGGUAUGGGCUCAACCUGUACAAGCGUUCAAAACUGUUUUUCUUGAGUGGAGUAGAGGUAAGCGGAAUUCCUAGUGUAGCGGUGAAAUGCGUAAAUAUUAGGAGGAACACCAGUGGCGAAGGCGGCUUACUGGGCUUUAACUGACGCUGAGGCUCGAAAGCGUGGGUAGCAAACAGGAUUAGAUACCCUGGUAGUCC
rnacentral:rRNA from 1 species